AGCAACCACACAGAGCUCCUCCCACAACUGGGUGCCCAGCUAACUCCAUUAUUAAAGAUGAGAACAGGAUUGUUCCCCAUUCUUAAAACAACUUUGAAAACAGAUGUGGCAUAUUGCCUGAACAUAUUCUCAAAUUUUUGCCUCUGCAUUUGCCAUUGUACCUCAAAUACAUAAACUUCUUUGGCUAAGGACAACACGUGCUUGGCCUAGAAGUCUCAUGUCAGAAUUUUCAAUUAAAUGACAAAAUCAAACCUCAUACAUGUCCCAAGUGCCAAUGUCAACUGAAGAGUGUGCUGUUGGACACAGAGAACAUGGUCUUGAAACAUAUUUUUUUUUCUCUUCUUUUGUCUUAUAUGUGCAACAUUUUAGUUUUGAAAUUUGCCGUUUUUUUGGGGCAAUCUUGGACUAAAGCACACCUAAUAAACAGCUAAUCAUGUUUAUUACAUUAUUUGCCUAUGAUGCGUAGUGUAAGAUGGAGAUGGUACUCCUCCUUGAUCUUCUUCCCCCUGAUAAUGGAACUCAUUUGGCCAGGAGGAUCAAACUCUGCAGCUUUUCUUGAUGUGAACUUGUUUGUUGAACAGCUUUGGAGAAGUCAGAGCAGCUGAGAUUGAUGGAGUGGCUUCCACAGCUGACCUGACGUUGCUGUUGCUCUCAGCAUGAAAACAACAAGGCACCACAGGAAUGUUAAGUUGAGAACAUUGAGUGGCGACGGUUUCACUGACCGCAGCUGAACUGUUAAGGUGUGCUCUCUCUCUCUCAUCGGAAUGAAGCAUCAAAGUUUCAAGGUGGUUUGGUGACGCUGUGGUGUUCAAUGUGCAAUUAGUUUGGCUUUUAUGACCUCUCACAAAGGCGUUUUCUUUUGAUGUGCUGAAGAGGCUGAUAACUGAAUGAUGAUUUAACUGUCUGCUCUUAAGUGUUUAAUGAUAACAACAGUAUGAAGAAAUGUGAUUUUCCACAGGGCAUUUUAAUGCAUUUUUAAUCCUGCCAACAAGUUAAAUGGUAUAGUGUUAUUGUUGGAAACUUGGAGCCCUUUUGCAGAAUACAAUAUCUGAAGAUUUUGUGUGUGUGUGUGCAGGAGGGUGUGUGUGUACAUUUGUGUGCGUUCAAAUAUGUUUAAUGCUCCCGAAACUUGAUUCCAACACACUAACAACAGAAUUCAAGGUUACACUGAAUAAUUUCAUUUAAGCGCAGAAGAAAGUUUGUUUUCUGAGUUAUACGUGAGUUUGAAGCUAAUCUUGAAGAAACAUGGCUACAGUAAUGAGAUGUUAUGGUUCCUCUGGCAUGUUUAAUUGUGUCCACAGACGCACAGAAGAAAAACUAUUUUCUCAUUGUUCAGUUUUUCAUAAACAGCACUACUCAUAUUUUAUAAAAUUUAUUAUUAAAGAACAAAAACAGUUGCAUAUAUCGACUAUAAUUCUAAUUUAGAUUGGGGCGUUGUCAUUAACAGACUAAUAAAAAAACAUGCUGUUAAUGAGCUUUUUUAAAAUCUGAGUAGAAGCUAUUUGAGAUCAUUUUUAACGGUCAUUUUCUAUGUAAUCUUUUA